rnacentral:rRNA from 1 species
GAGCUUGCUCUUAUGAAGUUAGCGGCGGACGGGUGAGUAACACGUGGGUAACCUACCCAUAAGACUGGGAUAACUCCGGGAAACCGGGGCUAAUACCGGAUAAUAUUUUGAACUGCAUAGUUCGAAAUUGAAAGGCGGCUUCGGCUGUCACUUAUGGAUGGACCCGCGUCGCAUUAGCUAGUUGGUGAGGUAACGGCUCACCAAGGCGACGAUGCGUAGCCGACCUGAGAGGGUGAUCGGCCACACUGGGACUGAGACACGGCCCAGACUCCUACGGGAGGCAGCAGUAGGGAAUCUUCCGCAAUGGACGAAAGUCUGACGGAGCAACGCCGCGUGAGUGAUGAAGGCUUUCGGGUCGUAAAACUCUGUUGUUAGGGAAGAACAAGUGCUAGUUGAAUAAGCUGGCACCUUGACGGUACCUAACCAGAAAGCCACGGCUAACUACGUGCCAGCAGCCGCGGUAAUACGUAGGUGGCAAGCGUUAUCCGGAAUUAUUGGGCGUAAAGCGCGCGCAGGUGGUUUCUUAAGUCUGAUGUGAAAGCCCACGGCUCAACCGUGGAGGGUCAUUGGAAACUGGGAGACUUGAGUGCAGAAGAGGAAAGUGGAAUUCCAUGUGUAGCGGUGAAAUGCGUAGAGAUAUGGAGGAACACCAGUGGCGAAGGCGACUUUCUGGUCUGUAACUGACACUGAGGCGCGAAAGCGUGG